GAUGAACGCUGGCGGCGUGCCUAAUACAUGCAAGUCGAGCGAACGGACGAGAAGCUUGCUUCUCUGAUGUUAGCGGCGGACGGGUGAGUAACACGUGGAUAACCUACCUAUAAGACUGGGAUAACUUCGGGAAACCGGAGCUAAUACCGGAUAAUAUUUUGAACCGCAUGGUUCAAAAGUGAAAGACGGUCUUGCUGUCACUUAUAGAUGGAUCCGCGCUGCAUUGGCUAGUUGGUAAGGUAACGGCUUACCAAGGCAACGAUGCAUAGCCGACCUGAGAGGGUGAUCGGCCACACUGGAACUGAGACACGGUCCAGACUCCUACGGGAGGCAGCAGUAGGGAAUCUUCCGCAAUGGGCGAAAGCCUGACGGAGCAACGCCGCGUGAGUGAUGAAGGUCUUCGGAUCGUAAAACUCUGUUAUUAGGGAAGAACAUAUGUGUAAGUAACUGUGCACAUCUUGACGGUACCUAAGCAGAAAGCCACGGCUAACUACGU
rnacentral:rRNA from 1 species